GGACCCGACUGCUAUUUGGGUGAGAAUAAGCCAUGCGAGUUGAAUGGGAUGCCUAAAUUUCCCAUAGCAAACUGCUCAGUAACACAUGAUCAACUUACCCUAUAGAGAAAAAUAACCUCGGGAAACUGAGGAUAAUAUUUCAUAGUUGAAACGGCUUGGAAAAGUGUUUCGACCAAAGGGAUAAGAAAAAUGGUUCUUCUCCGCUAUAGGAUAGGAUCGUGCUCGAUCAUGGUUGUUGGUGAGGUAACGGCUCACCAAGCCGAUAAUCGAUAGGGGCCGUGAGAGCGGGAGCCCCGAGAUGGGUACUGAGACAACGACCCAGGCCUUACGAGGCGCAGCAGGCGCGAAACCUCCGCAAUACACGAAAGUGUGACGGGGUUACCCAAAGUGUUCAUUAUUGAACUGUGGUAGGUGAGUAAUGUCCCCUACUAGAAAGGAGAGGGCAAGGCUGGUGCCAGCCGCCGCGGUAAAACCAGCUCUUCAAGUGGUCGGGAUAAUUAUUGGGCUUAAAGUGUCCGUAGCCGGUUUAGUAAGUUCCUGGUAAAAUCGGGUAGCUUAACUAUCUGUAUGCUAGGAAUACUGCUAUACUAGAGGGCGGGAGAGGUCUGAGGUACUACAGGGGUAGGGGUGAAAUCUUAUAAUCCUUGUAGGACCACCAGUGGCGAAGGCGUCAGACUGGAACGUGCCUGACGGUGAGGGACGAAAGCCAGGGGAGCGAACCGGAUUAGAUACCCGGGUAGUCCUGGCCGUAAACGAUGCAUACUAGGUGAUGGCACGGCCAUGAGCCGUGUCAGUGCCGUAGGGAAACCGUUAAGUGUGCCGCCUGGGAAGUACGGUCGCAAGGCUAAAACUUAA
rnacentral:rRNA from 1 species